UACGAAGGGGGCGAGCGUUGUUCGGAUUUACUGGGCGUAAAGGGCGCGCAGGCGGUUCUGUUUGUCGAGUGUGAAAGCCCCGGGCUCAACCUGGGAACUGCGCUCGAAACGGCGGAACUAGAGUUCGGGAGAGGAGAGUGGAACUCCCAGUGUAGAGGUGAAAUGCGUAGAUAUCACGCGGAAGGCCAACGGCGAAGGCAGAUCACUGGCGCGCAACUGACGCUGAGUGCACGAAAGCGUGGGGAGCAAACAGG
rnacentral:rRNA from 1 species